rnacentral:rRNA from 1 species
AGGGGGAACCUGAUGCAGCCAUGCCGCGUGUGUGAAGAAGGCCUUCGGGUUGUAAGGCACUUUCAGUUGUGAGGAAAAGUUAGUAGUUAAUACCUGCUAGCCGUGACGUUAACAACAGAAGAAGCACCGGCUAACUCCGUGCCAGCAGCCGCGGUAAUACGGAGGGUGCGAGCGUUAAUCGGAAUUACUGGGCGUAAAGCGCACGCAGGCGGUUUGUUAAGCUAGAUGUGAAAGCCCCGGGCUCAACCUGGGAUGGUCAUUUAGAACUGGCAGACUAGGGUCUUGGAGAGGGGAGUGGAAUUCCAGGUGUAGCGGUGAAAUGCGUAGAUAUCUGGAGGAACAUCAGUGGCGAAGGCGACUCCCUGGCCAAAGACUGACGCUCAUGUGCGAAAGUGUGGGUAGCGAACAGGAUUAGAUACCCUGGUAGUCCACACCGUAAACGCUGUCUACUAGCUGUUUGUGACUUUAAGUCGUGAGUAGCGAAGCUAACGCGCUAAGUAGACCGCCUGGGGAGUACGGCCGCAAGGUUAAAACUCAAAUGAAUUGACGGGGGCCCGCACAAGCGGUGGAGCAUGUGGUUUAAUUCGAUGCAACGCGAAGAACCUUACCUACACUUGACAUGCAGAGAACUUUCCAGAGAUGGAUUGGUGCCUUCGGGAACUCUGACACAGGUGCUGCAUGGCUGUCGUCAGCUCGUGUCGUGAGAUGUUGGGUUAAGUCCCGCAACGAGCGCAACCCUUGUCCUUAGUUGCCAGCAUUCAGUUGGGCACUCUAAGGAGACUGCC